rnacentral:rRNA from 1 species
UACGUAGGGCGCAAGCGUUAUCCGGAAUUAUUGGGCGUAAAGAGCUCGUAGGCGGUUUGUCGCGUCUGCUGUGAAAGUCCGGGGCUCAACUCCGGAUCUGCGGUGGGUACGGGCAGACUAGAGUGAUGUAGGGGAGACUGGAAUUCCUGGUGUAGCGGUGAAAUGCGCAGAUAUCAGGAGGAACACCGAUGGCGAAGGCAGGUCUCUGGGAAGUAACUGACGCUGAGGAGCGAAAGCGUGGGGAGCAAACAGG